CAGUAGCCGCGGGAAUACGGAGGGUGCAAGCGUUAAUCGGAAUUACUGGGCGUAAAGCGCACGCAGGCGGUCUGUCAAGUCAGAUGUGAAAUCCCCGGGCUUAACCUGGGAACUGCAUUUGAAACUGGCAGGCUAGAGUCUUGUAGAGGGGGGUAGAAUUCCAGGUGUAGCGGUGAAAUGCGUAGAGAUUUGGAGGAAUACCGGUGGCGAAGGCGGCCCCCUGGACAAAGACUGACGCUCAGGUGCGAAAGCGUGGGAAGCAAACAGGAUUAGAUACCCCUGUAGUCCCUGUCUCUUAUAC
rnacentral:rRNA from 1 species